CUACCUAAUCCCAAGUACUAGUAGUUCUACUUCUUUAAGUCGGGUAGAAGGGGUGAGGAGAAGAGAGAGAGAAAGAAUGAAGUUCUUGUUCCAAUGUCCAUGCUGUUCUUGUUUCUGUUUCAUGAAGCCCCAAAAGGGCAAACCAAAAGCAAAAGUGGAAGAAGCAAAACCAAAAGCCAAAGUGGAAGAAGCAAAACCUAAAGAUAAGAAGGUGGAAGAAGCAAAACCAAAAGAGAAAGAAGAAAGCACGCCAGAAUGAAAGCAUAGAGGACAUGGGAUGAUGAUGCAGUUAUACUGUUCUGAUGCAAGUAAUAUUGUUCUUCAUUUACUUAAUUUACUUCUAGUCAUAAUUUAUGGUGUGCAGUCUUUUAACUCUUUUGAAAAAAGCACCUCCUAAAUAUUGUAAUCGUAUGACAAAAUAUUUGCACUUUAUUCUCUCUGAAAUGCAAACCUAGUCUUCAUUAUUAUGUAUGUUUAGAUCCUUUGUCGCACUCAUGUUGGAUUCUCAAAAAAUACAUACUUUUUAAAAGAUACAAUGUAGAAAUUUUGAAGUAUAUGAGAAACAUAACUUGUUAAUAGUUAGAUUUCUCUUAA
rnacentral:lncRNA from 1 species